rnacentral:rRNA from 1 species
AAAUUGAAGAGUUUGAUCAUGGCUCAGAUUGAACGCUGGCGGCAGGCCUAACACAUGCAAGUCGAACGGUAACAGGAAGCAGCUUGCUGUUUUGCUGACGAGUGGCGGACGGGUGAGUAAUGUCUGGGAAACUGCCUGAUGGAGGGGGAUAACUACUGGAAACGGUGGCUAAUACCGCAUAACGUCGCAAGACCAAAGAGGGGGACCUUCGGGCCUCUUGCCAUCAGAUGUGCCCAGAUGGGAUUAGCUUGUUGGUGAGGUAACGGCUCACCAAGGCGACGAUCCCUAGCUGGUCUGAGAGGAUGACCAGCCACACUGGAACUGAGACACGGUCCAGACUCCUACGGGAGGCAGCAGUGGGGAAUAUUGCACAAUGGGCGCAAGCCUGAUGCAGCCAUGCCGCGUGUAUGAAGAAGGCCUUCGGGUUGUAAAGUACUUUCAGCGGGGAGGAAGGUGUUGUGGUUAAUAACCACAGCAAUUGACGUUACCCGCAGAAGAAGCACCGGCUAACUCCGUGCCAGCAGCCGCGGUAAUACGGAGGGUGCAAGCGUUAAUCGGAAUUACUGGGCGUAAAGCGCACGCAGGCGGUCUGUCAAGUCGGAUGUGAAAUCCCCGGGCUCAACCUGGGAACUGCAUUCGAAACUGGCAGGCUUGAGUCUUGUAGAGGGGGGUAGAAUUCCAGGUGUAGCGGUGAAAUGCGUAGAGAUCUGGAGGAAUACCGGUGGCGAAGGCGGCCCCCUGGACAAAGACUGACGCUCAGGUGCGAAAGCGUGGGGAGCAAACAGGAUUAGAUACCCUGGUAGUCCACGCCGUAAACGAUGUCUACUUGGAGGUUGUGCCCUUGAGGUGUGGCUUCCGGAGCUAACGCGUUAAGUAGACCGCCUGGGGAGUACGGCCGCAAGGUUAAAACUCAAAUGAAUUGACGGGGGCCCGCACAAGCGGUGGAGCAUGUGGUUUAAUUCGAUGCAACGCGAAGAACCUUACCUGGUCUUGACAUCCACAGAACUUUCCAGAGAUGGACUGGUGCCUUCGGGAAC